GAUUUAGUUACGGCUUUUUUGCAUUUCAGGUGACGAUAUGUAGUUUUCUGGAGGUCGGUAACUAAACUAUUUUGAAGCGACAUAUCGAAGAUAAAACGUUAUGUUCAACGUCGCAAAAUCAAGCAUACUUUUAGGCGCUCACAAAGGCUACGUAUUCAUAAAUAUUUAUGCUUGUGUGUGUUCGAGCUUUAAUAAUUGCAGCAGGGCUGCUUUUUAUUCAAGAAUAUCUAGGGUUCUAGAUAAAAAAAAAAAAACAUUGGACAACAACGGCGAUAGAAUGUGUUGGAGACCAACAAAAUAUUUUCGUUCUAUUUGUUAUUUGCUCUCAAAACGAACGCAAUGCGAAUACGUUCGAAAGCAAUUUUCUGUAUUAUUAUAGAGCCACAUGCAGUUGAGUAUCAGGAAAGGAGGAGGGGUGUCUCUCGAACACACGCUUGAAUGCAAAAUCGGAAAUAAUUAAAAAAAAAUUAAAUUUUCAGAUUGCAUAGUUUUGUCUUUCGUACAAACUUUAUUAUUUGUUGUUCCUCUCAACUCAUGUAAGGUAUCUCCAAGUGAGCUGCUCUUCUCAGAGGGAAAUCGAUCGGUUAUACUUUACGAUGACCUCUAGCACGAAUCGUAUUUUUGUGUGCACUAGGGUGUAGCACCACCCCACAAAAAACUUGAUUUUGUUUUUCCAAAUUUUGAGACUUCCGCUAACAAAUUUAGGAAAAAUAUUAAGGUUUACCUGAGCUGGAUCUAUUUGAAAAUACCUUCGAAAAUCGAGUCUUUUAUAAAUAAAAUUAGUUCUUAAAAUAUCUUUUCUAAACAAUCAGCUCAGUGAUAGAAGAGUUUAAGUUUAAAAAGUAUUUUCAAAUCUUUAAUUUUUUCCGAAAUUGCAACACCGUCCAGUAGCAAUUAACCGUGAUGUACAAUUAGCAGAUCUUUGGUUAAAUGCAACAGUAGCUAAUUAAGCAAACUUUUACUAAACCGCCAGAUUUUAGCUAUCCGAAAUUUGUUCACUCAAUUUGAAAAUUCUAUGAAAUCAGCUGAUAAUUUAUUUGCGUGAACCCGGUUGUAAGAGUUUUAAAAAAAUUUCCAGGGUCGUUGUAUAUUAUGAAGUUGAGUUGAAAAAGAGUUGCAUUAAAAGAGAACUGUUACUAGUGUAUUUUCGAAUUUCCAAGCAUAAAUGUUGCUUCACCAAUAAACCGAUGUUUUCAUUUAGCCAAGGUCUGAAAUAACCGAUGGAAUUUGUGUAUGAAAAAGCUAAAAUAAAAUUGGGGUCAGAUUUUCCGUGCCAAUUAAAAAGAGUUCAACUAGCCGGUUUCGACUGUAAUUCCGGUAGAAAAACUGCAACUAGAUUUGGUGGUACACCCUAAUGUACAUACAUAUUUUAUCAUGUAUAUCAACGCGGCGCACUUACAAAUAAAUUUAUGCGCCAAAAGUAAAGUGAUAGAAGUUUAAUUUUGGGAUUUAAUUUUCAACAAAAAAAGCAAACGAAAAAAAUUUAUUGCACUCAGUUUUGAUGCUAAAGUUGUUGUAUUUGAAUACCACAAAAAAUCAAUGACAGCGAAGUAAGAUAUCAAAUUGGCUGCAGCGGCUCAACAUACACCCAAAGAGACAUACAGACACGCAUACACUAAAGUGCUGUAGCCAAAAAAACAUAUCUGGAGUUAAGCCAUUUAUGCUUGCAUUGAUUUUUGAAAACAAAAAUAUUUUAUAUAAACUUUAAUGUACUCGUACAUAUGUAUUUAUCUUAUACUCGUACACAUUUUCUGUUAAAAAAAAUGUUAAUUAUUUCGAAAGCAAGUAAAAAAUGCAAAAAAGUGCAAAUACUAAAGCGAUCAGCGAUCAGAGAUGCUGCAUAUUGCAGUGAAGUGCGUGCAAAAAAUUCCAUUUAAACUUACAUUUAAUAAACAAAAAAAAAAAACUUACAUAUAUACAUAGAUACAUACAACAUACACAUGCAUUCAUACAUAUUACACACAUAUAAACACUUACUACACAAUUCGCUAAUAUUUAACACUAAUUAAUACAAAUCAAACAAAAAAUAAACAAAAACACAAAAUACAAAAAAAAAA